ensembl:misc_RNA Metazoa_SRP Metazoan signal recognition particle RNA
GCUGGGCACGGUGGCGCGUGCCUGUAGUCCCAGCUUCUCGGGAGGCUGAGGCAGGAGAAUUGCCUGAACCCAGGAGGCGGAGGUUGCGGUGAGCCGAGAUCGCGCCACUGCACUCCAGCCUGGGCAACAGAGCAAGACUCUGUCUCAA